UACGGGGGCAAGCGUUGUUCGGAAUUACUGGGCGUAAAGGGCUCGUAGGUGGCCAACUAAGUCAGACGUGAAAUCCCUCGGCUUAACCGGGGAACUGCGUCUGAUACUGGAUGGCUUGAGUUUGGGAGAGGGACGCGGAAUUCCAGGUGUAGCGGUGAAAUGCGUAGAUAUCUGGAGGAACACCGGUGGCGAAGGCGGCGUCCUGGACCAGCACUGACACUGAUGAGCGAAAGCCAGGGAGCAAACGGG
rnacentral:rRNA from 1 species